GGCCGGAUGGCGCAAUGGUAGCGCGCAGUCCUCCUAAGACUGAGGCUCUGGGUUCGAGUCCCAGUUCGGUCG